GGGGGGGGGAGGUUGAGCAUGAGCAUGUGCGAUAGGACCUGACAGAUGGUGAACUAUGCCUGGGCAGGGCAAAGCCAGAGGAAAACCUGGUGAAGGCCUGCAGCAGUCCUGAUAUGCAAAUCGGUCAUCCAACCUGGGUAUGGGGUGAAAGACUAAUCGAACCAUCUAGUAGCUGGUUCCCUCUGAAGUUUCCCUCAGGAUAGCUGGCGCUCCCUCGCAGUUUUAUCUGGUAAAGCGAAUGACUUGGGGCCAAAACGAUCUCAACCUAUUCUCAAACUUUAAAUGGGUAAGAAGCCCUGCUCACUGGCUUGGAGUGGAAUGCGAGCCGCCUAGUGGGACACUUUUGGUAAGCAGAACUGGCGCUGCGGGAUGAACCGAACGCCGGGAUAAGGCGCCUGAUACUGACACUCAUCAGACCCCAGAAAAGGUGUUGGUUGAUAUAAACAGCAGGAUGGUGGCCAUGGAAGUUGGAAUCCCUUAAAGAGUGUGUAACAACUCACCUGCCGAAUCAUCCAGCCCUGAAAAUGGAUGGCGCUGGAGCGUCAGGCCCAUACCCGGCCGUCGCCAGCAAUAGGGGCCGCUGGGGCUAGACCGCUGGGGCUAGGGAGCGACGAGUAGGAGGGCUGUCAUGGUGCACACAGAAGCCCAGGGUGCGGGCCCUGGUGGAGCCAACGUGGGUGCAGACCUUGGUGGUAGUAGGAAAUAUUCAAAGGACAACAUUGAAGGCCGAAGUGGAGAAGGGUUCCAUGUGAACACAGUUGAACAUGGAUCAGUCAGUCCUAAGAGAUGGGCGAAUGCCCUUCGGAAGUGCAGGGCAAUGGCCUACGUCGCCCCCAGCCGAUUGAAAGGGAGUCGGGUUCAGAUCCCCGAAUCUGGAGCAGCAGAGAGGGUUGCAAGGCGUCCAGUGCGGUGACACAAGAGAUCCCAGAGAACCUGGCCAGAGCCCCAGGGAGAAUUCUCUUUUCUUUGUGAAGGGCAGGUCACCCUGGAUUUGCCCCGAGAGAGGGGCCCAUGCCCUUGAAAGCAUUGCGGUUCUGGCCGGCUCUUGCUGGCUCUUGAAAAUCUGGGAGAAAGGGAGUAAAUCUUGUGCCAGGCCGUACUCAUAUCCAGGGUCUCCAAAGUGAACAGCCUUUGGCAUGUUGGAACAAGGCAGGUCAGGGACGUCAGCAAGUCAGAUCCGUAACUUCGGGACAAGGAUUGGCUCUAAGGGCUAGGUCAGUCUGGCUGGGGUGCAUCGUGUCAACACCCGCCGUGAUGUGAUUUCUGCCCAGUGCUCUGAAUGUCAAAGUGAAGAAAUUCAAUGAAGCGUGGGUAAACGGGUAUGACUCUCUUAAGGUAGCCAAAUGUCUAGUCAUCUAAUUAGUGACGCGCAUGAAUGGAUAAACGAGAUUCCCACUGUCCCUACUUACUAUCUAGUGAAACCACAGCCAAGGGAACGGGCUUGGCACAAUCAGCAGAGAAAGAAGACCCUGUUGAGCUUGACUCUAGUCUGGCACUGUGAAGAGACAUGAGAGGUGUAGUAUAAGUGAGAGGUCUCUCAUAUGCCGCCAAUGAAAUACCACUACACUACUUACCCAGUGAGGUGGGGAGGUGAGUUGACUGGGGCGGUAUACCUGUCAAACGGUAACGCAGGUGUCCUAAAGUGAGCUCAGUGAGGGCAGAAACCUCCCGUGGAGCAGAAGGGCAAAUGCUCGCUUGAUCUUGAUUUUAAGUAGGAAUGGGAUUAUGACUGAAUACCUCUAAGUCAGAAUCCUGCCUAGACGAAGUGAUACCAAAGCGCCGUGGAUUUUCAUUUGGCCCGGAUAGCUGGAUCCCCUCCUGGGGGCUGGUGAGCAGAGCCAUUCGAGACUGGACUGGGGUGCGGCGGCAUACAAAACAUCGCAUACCCUCUCCUGCCUCGCACCUCUUGUUUGUGGAGAACCUGGUGCUAAAUCACCAGGUUCUCCAACAGAGUGGAAUAGCAUCAAAAACUAUGCUGUACUCUUGUGCAUUUACUGGAAUACCAAAUGUCUUCAAGAAUUCAGUGUAAGUGAGUAAUUGGCCUUUUGGAAUAUUGUUGUCUGCCCAAUUCUUAUAAAAUAUCGAUUUCUUUUUAAAUGUGAUGUUUUUGUUGUUCCAAAUCAAAUGUCUGUGUGGGGAGAAAUUAAGUUUGUAUAUAAGAAGCCAGCAUAAAAGAGCCUGUCUAUGAAAGUUAGAUAAUUGGAGAGGAAGUUUAUUUAUAUCAAAAUCACACUUCAGAAGGAAUUCUAUACCACUUUUUUUUUUUGCAAAUAUGAGAUUAGGAAUUAAGUACCACAAUUUAUCCAUAUUUGCAAAAUAAU
rnacentral:rRNA from 1 species